AUAUAUAUAUAUAUUUAUAUAUAUAUAUAUAUAUAUAUAUAUAUAUAUAUAUAUUAUAUAUCAAAGAAUUUUUAGAAAUUGAUUAAUGAUGUGAAUUUCUGAAAUUGAAAGAAAUAUCAUUGCAUGUUUUUUUUUUUUACAUCUGGCUACUGUACAACAGGCUGGAAACUUGAAAAGGAAUAUGAAACAGUCUCCAUUUUAACAUUCUAAAACCACAAAUAAAAAUUCCCUUAAUGAUUUUUGGCACCAGCUAAGAUUCCUCAAAUUCCUAAGUGUCUGGACUCCAUUUAUCUCACUAAAGAGAUGGAUGCUGGCAGAAGAGGGAAAAAAAAAUAAAAAACAGGACACUCACUUACUCUAUCCGUUCAUUCCUGUCCUCUUGUUCUCUUAAGAGUCACAGGUCCUGACAAUACAGCCUCUGUUCUAUGAGGAAGAACUCAGACCAGAAGAAAGGCACUCAGCAAGGAAAUAAGUAAGCAAUACUCCAGCCACAAGUACUCCAUCUGAACACUUGCCUCUGUUUUAGUUUAAAUAACAAGGAUUUGUUAUAUAUAAAUAUAUAUUUCCACCCCAAAAUAAAAGAGAUUUUAAAACAAAUAGAUAAUAGAAAAAAAAUUGCUAGCAAAUAUACUGCAGUUAUAACUAUAACUAUUAAUUCAUGAACACUUUUUUUUGCACUGGAAGGCAGUGGCUUAACUCAUCUUAGCUAUAUUUAGGUCUUUUUUGCAAGUUUUUAGUAAGAUUUAAAACUAGUUGUGAUCCAAUUCCUGUGUGAGAAAACACAGACCCAGAGUUUUCCCUCUCGGUCACCCACAAUGCAGCCACCAUGCUUGUGCAGGUAUCUGCUGACUAUCAUUAUGACCUCUCAAAACACUUCUAAGAACUAUCAGCGUUUUGGCUUCACUGAACAACAUCACACCAGAAAUCGCACUUAAAGCUUUCACGUUUUUAGCCACUUUAUCAUAAUUUUUUUUUUUAAAGUACAACUGACAGUUUUUCAUUUACAACGUCUGUUCUGGGAAGCUCAGUAAACCCCUAAACUCGACUACAGCUGAGAUCCUUUGUAAAUGUAUAAUGACUCACCAAUACAGUGUAAUACUGGAUCAUUUAGGUCUACAGAGAAGAAUAUUAAACUGUUAACAGGCCUUCUUAGGUAGUUUCAGACUGAUGCAACAUUGAGACAUUAAAAUCCACAGAAACCCAGCAAGCCUUUCCAGUCUCAGACCUGAUAGUUAGACAUAGCCAGACUUCUAGCUAUUGGCAAAAGUCUGCAUCACUUUGCAGUGUAUUCUGACCAAGAACCACCCACUUAGACAGGAAGAGAAUUUCUGUGCAUGAAAAAACUCAUGAUAAUUUCACACAGUCAAAUAUAUAACUCUGCUGUAGUUUACUUGAUAAAAGUGUCUAAAACAAAACUUUAAACACUGGCUUCCACAAAUCUAGCAAACUUUUAAUUCUCCUAAAAAGUAGUAACACUGUAUAAAACCUGUAUACUCUGCAUACAGCCAGACAAUGAUAUAGAAACUUGGGGUUAAAAUAUCUUGCCUUUUUCUAAUGUAAUAUUAACAGCAUACUGUCAAUAAACAUCUAUAACUGAGAUAACAGAUCUGAUCAAAAUUGCUAAAUGCUAAACAAUGUUAUGCUAUAACUACAGGUUUGAAAGUAAUUUGGCUAAAUGUACAAACCUUCAUUAAUGGCAUCAGCUCUCAGAAAAGCC
ensembl:lncRNA